UACGUAGGGGGCAAGCGUUGUCCGGAUUUAUUGGGCGUAAAGCGCGCGUAGGCGGCGCGGUAUGUCGUGCGUGAAAUCUCCCGGCUUAACUGGGAGGGGCCGUGCGAAACUGCCGGGCUUGAGGUCGGAAGGGGAAAGUGGAAUUCCGGGUGUAGUGGUGGAAUACGUAGAUAUCCGGAGGAACACCAGCGGCGAAGGCGGCUUUCUGGUCCGAUACUGACGCUGAGGUGCGAAAGCGUGGGGGAGCGAUCCGG
rnacentral:rRNA from 1 species